rnacentral:rRNA from 1 species
AGUGAACGCUGGCGGUAGGCCUAACACAUGCAAGUCGAACGGCAGCACAGUAAGAGCUUGCUCUUACGGGUGGCGAGUGGCGGACGGGUGAGGAAUACAUCGGAAUCUACUUUUUCGUGGGGGAUAACGUAGGGAAACUUACGCUAAUACCGCAUACGACCUACGGGUGAAAGCAGGGGAUCUUCGGACCUUGCGCGAUUGAAUGAGCCGAUGUCGGAUUAGCUAGUUGGCGGGGUAAAGGCCCACCAAGGCGACGAUCCGUAGCUGGUCUGAGAGGAUGAUCAGCCACACUGGAACUGAGACACGGUCCAGACUCCUACGGGGGGCAGCAGUGGGGAAUAUUGGACAAUGGGGGCAAGCCUGAUCCAGCCGUACCGCGGGGGUGAAGAAGGCCUGCGGGUUGUAAAGCCCUUUUGUUGGGAAAGAAAAGCAGCAGGUUAAUACCCCGUUGUUCUGACGGUACCCAAAGAAUAAGCACCGGCUAACUUCGUG